GCCGAUGUGGCUCAGUGGCAGAGCAGCUGAUUCGUAAUCAGCAGGUCGCCGGUUCAAAUCCGGCCAUCGGCUCCA
rnacentral:tRNA from 2 species